rnacentral:rRNA from 1 species
GAUGAACGCUGGCGGCGUGCCUAAUACAUGCAAGUCGAGCGAACGGACGAGAAGCUUGCUUCUCUGAUGUUAGCGGCGGACGGGUGGGUAACACGUGGAUAACCUACCUAUAAGACUGGGAUAACUUCGGGAAACCGGAGCUAAUACCGGAUAAUAUUUUGAACCGCAUGGUUCAAAAGUGAAAGACGGUCUUGCUGUCACUUAUAGAUGGAUCCGCGCUGCAUUAGCUAGUUUGUAAGGUAACGGCUUACUAAGGCAACGAUUCAUAGCCGACAUGAGAGGGUGAUCGGCCACACUGUAACUGAGACACGGUCCAGACUCCUACGGGAGGCAGCAGUAGGGAAUCUGCCGCAAUGGGCGAAAGCCUGACGGAGCAACGCCGCGUGAGGGAUGAAGGUCUUCGGAUCGUAAAACUCUGUUAUUAGGGAAGAACAUAUGUGUAAGUAACUGUGCACAUCUUGACGGUACCUAAUCAGAAAGCCACGGCUAACUACGUG